GAACGCUGGCGGCAUGCCUUACACAUGCAAGUCGAACGGCAGCACGGGAGCAAUCCUGGGUGGCGAGUGGCGAACGGGUGAGUAAUAUAUCGGAACGUGCCCAGUCGUGGGGGAUAACGUAGCGAAAGCUACGCUAAUACCGCAUACGAUCUAUGGAUGAAANCGGGGGAUCGCAAGACCUCGCGCGAUUGGAGCGGCCGAUAUCAGAUUAGGUAGUUGGUGAGGUAAAGGCUCACCAAGGCGACGAUCCUUAGCUGGUCUGAGAGGAUGAUCAGUCACACUGGAACUGAGACACGGUCCAGACUCCUACGGGAGGCAGCAGUGGGGAAUAUUGGACAAUGGGCGAAAGCCUGAUCCAGCCAUGCCGCGUGUGUGAAGAAGGUCUUCGGAUUGUAAAGCACUUUAAGUUGGGAGGAAGGGUAGUAACCUAAUACGUUGCUACUUUGACGUUACCGACAGAAUAAGCACCGGCUAACUUCGUG
rnacentral:rRNA from 1 species